GCCUGGGUAGCUCAGUUGGUUAAGUGUCUGACUUCAGCUCAGGUCAUGAUCUCGCAGUUUGUGAGUUCAAGACCCACAUCGGGCU
rnacentral:tRNA from 1 species